UGCGGUAUCCUGACCGUGCUAAGGUAGCGUAAUAAUUUGCCCAUUAAUUGUGGGCUUGUAUGAAGGACAAACGAGGGAGGCCCUGUCUCUUACUUAAAAUUAAAAAUUGAUCUUCAGGUGAAGAAACCUGAAUUAUUCUAUAGGACAAGAAGACCCCGUAGAGCUCAGCCUUAACUUAUUUAUAAUAAAAAUUAAUUUAACUUUCAUUUAUAAAUAACUAAGUCUUAGCUGGGGCGGCUAAGGAAAAUCCAAUCUUCCAACUAUCAUUACACCAUCUCAUAGGUUUAUUCACCAUCCCAUCAACUUAUGACCCUUAAAGAUUACAAAACAUAGCUACCUCGGGGAUAACAGAUUAAUCCUUCUUAAGAGCUCGCAUUGACAGAAGGGUUUGACACCUCGAUGUUGGCUUAGAGUACCCAAUAGAUCCGCAGCAGUCUAUAUAUGGUAGGUUUGUUCAACCUUUAAAACUCUACAUGAUCUGAGUUCAAACCGGAGA
rnacentral:rRNA from 1 species